AUACGGAGGAUCCGAGCGUUAUCCGGAUUUAUUGGGUUUAAAGGGUGCGCAGGCGGCCAUUUAAGUCAGCGGUUAAAUCGUGGGGCUCAACCCCAUUCUGCCGUUGAUACUGGGUGGCUUGAUUGCGGUCGAGGUUGGCGGAAUUCGUUGUGUAGCGGUGAAAUGCAUAGAUAUGACGAAGAACACCGAUUGCGUAGGCAGCUGACCAGACCGCAAAUGACGCUCAUGCACGAAAGUGCGGGGAUCGAACAGGAUUAGAUACCCUGGUAGUCCGCACAGUAAACGAUGUAUACUUGUUUUCGGCGAUAUAAUGUCGGAGGCAAAGCGAAAGCGAUAAGUAUUCCACCUGGGGAGUACGCCGGCAACGGUGAAACUCAAAUGAAUUGACGGGG
rnacentral:rRNA from 1 species